rnacentral:rRNA from 1 species
UAGUGAGUUUGAUCCUGGCUCAGGAUGAACGCUGGCGGUAUGCUUAACACAUGCAAGUCGAACGGAAGUCUUCGGACUUUAGUGGCGGACGGGUGAGUAACGCGUGAGAAACUGCCCCUUGGACCGGGACAACAGCUGGAAACGGCUGCUAACACCGGAUGUGCCGAAAGGUGAAACUAUUUAUAGCCAGGGGUAUGUGCUCGCGUCCGAUUAGCUAGUUGGUAGUGUAACUGGGACUACCGAAGGCGACGUAUCGGUAGCUGGUCUGAGAGGAUGAUCAGUCACGACGU